GUAGUUCAACAAAGUAAUGCAGUGCAUUUAUUCACUUGUGUUGUUUCCUCCUGGAUAACGCGUUUAUCAAAAGUUAAUUGAUUGACACAGCGGGAUGCCGUGGUCAGCGCUGAUGAAACCGCUCCUUGCUGCAAACUAGUUCCACGUGAUCUAUAUAGGUCAACUUAUCAAGAUUUUGAAAAACCGGGCAGCAUUCUUGAGAGACAAAGAACAGGAUUUAGGGAAUAUUUUACAUCAUCGUAUGCGGCUGUUUGCAAAGACUAAAUACACCUUUUUAAAGAUUACAUGUUAUGAGAGGAAUUGGACGGAAUGAAGUUUAAUUUGCUACACACCAUCUUUGAGGGAUUUACCGGGGUAUUAAUUUUAAAGAAGAAAACAAAGAAGUCCAAGUGCCAAACAGAUGAUUUCCAAAGGAAGAAGAAUAUUGUGAUUUUUUUUCUUAUUUCAAUUGUGACAAAUCUUCCCUGUUAAGAAGACUGUUAUUGACUGUGUGGAUGUAAAAAAGAGUUCAUGGAUUACAUUUGUGAAAGAGUUUAAACCAAUUAAAACCAUAGGAAGUACAAUA